GUCUCCGUAGCUUAGUUGGAAGAACACUCGACUAUGGAGUGGUAGAACUUGGGUUCGAGCCCCGGUGAAGGCA